ACCGGAGGUUCCAUGAGUUUCGCGGGCCACCGACGAAGACUGGUAAUUUAGCCAAUAAAUUUUCCUCCUUUUAAAUUGUCUAAAUACGAUUAAAGUUUUAUCCAACUAUUAUUUUUUAAUUUUGCAGCGAAAGUUAAACGGGGGAGAGACUGCGCCUCUUUUUGAGGUCUUCGAGGAGACACAUAAGAAGAAGAAGGCAGACGGUACAAGAGAAGGAUGGGUCGAGCCACAUGCUAAGGGGACAUAUGAAGGCUUUCAAAAAGGUUUGGAAGAUUAGCGUCAGACCCAGCCUGCUUUAGAGGAUGGUACCUCAGUCCGACCAUCGCCCACGGAUAUGACUUCAAUAUGGACACAUGUGGCAGGUGGUCCAAGCAAAGGUAGAGUCUAUGGGCUUAGAGUUCUGCGUUCCUCGUCUAGGCCUUCGCCGUUCUUGUCCAAUGCUCCUACUUCGCAAAAUAUGGAAGAAAUGGAAGCGAUGCGCAGGGAAAUUGCAGAGCUGAAGAAAAAGUGUGAAACUUCUGAUGCUAAGCUUGCUAAAAUUGAGAAGUUUAUGAUGAAGCACAUGCCUCAAAUGUCUGAUGACGAGGAAGAGACCGAAUCUGAUGACAAUUAGAUUGUAGUUGCUGGUUAUUGUUUUUAAUUGUGAUGUUUAGACUUUUAGACUUGAAUUCUCUUGGUUGUUGGUUUGGGAUGUUUAAACUAUUUCGAAUUGAUGUUUGUUUGGGAUGUUUCAAAUGUUUGAAUGUUUAGACUAUUUCUUCA